AAAAAAGCAAACCGUGGGUUCCCGUGUCAACAUAUGACUGUCCGUUUUAUAUGAAAUUUUUUUAUAAUUAGUAUUUUUAUUAUUGUUAGAUAAUAAAACAUGAUUAAUAAUUUAUGCGUGAAUUAUCUUUUUAAUUUUUUUUAUAUUUUUUUAAAUAAAACGGACGAUCAAAUGUUGAAAACGGAAACAGGUUUGUCUUUCU
rfam:Oryza glumipatula chromosome 11, whole genome shotgun sequence.